AGCUUUGCGCAGUGGCAUUAUUGUAGCCAAUGAGGUUUAUCCGAAGUGCGAUUAUUGCUAAUUGAAAACAAAUGAAACCCUCCUACACAUAUGAAGAGCCCAGAAAUUAUUUGUUCUCCCUGUUUUUUUCUUCAUAUUGCCCACCCUCCACAAUCUUAUUCAAAAAAGG
rnacentral:snRNA from 1 species